rnacentral:misc_RNA from 1 species
AAAGUCGUAACAAGGUUUCCGUAGGUGAACCUGCGGAAGGAUCAUUAAAGGUUAUGCCGAUUCCCAACCGCUCUCGCAGCGGCUUCGGCAGCCCCCAACCAUUCACCUUGUGCACGCAUCGUACAUAUGUUUUGGCAGAUUCUCCUGCACUUUCCCAGCUUUUGUCUCUUUUGAGAGGAAGGAAAAAGGGGGUUAGGGAGGUCUGCCAGACGUUUUCAAAUCAAUCCUUUUUGUUAACCGCCUGUCUGACUUUAAUACAAAGCAAAAAUAAACAACUUUCAACAACGGAUCUCUUGGCUCUC